rnacentral:rRNA from 1 species
AGAGUUUGAUUCUGGCUCGGGACGAACGCUGGCGGCGCGCUUAACACAUGCAAGUCGAACGGAGCAAUUCUGAGCGUCUCGGACAAUUGGAAUUACUAGUGGCGGACGGGUGAGUAACGCGUGAGCAACCGGUCCUGAAGAGGGGGGACAACUUUGAGAAAUCAAGGCUAAUACCGCGUAAGACCACACUGUGGCAUCACAGAGGGGUCAAAGGAGAGAUCCGCUUCAGGGAGGGCUCGCGUCCCAUUAGGUAGUUGGUGACGGUAACGGCGCACCAAGCCGACAAUGGGUAGCCGUGCUGAGAGGCAGGCCGGCCACACUGGAACUGAGACACGGUCCAGACUCCUACGGGAGGCAGCAGUGGGGAAUCUUGGGCAAAUGGGGGGAACCCUGACCCAGCGACGCCGCGUGGAGGAAGAAGGUCUUCGGAUUGUAAACUUCUGUGACAGGGGACGAAGGAAGUGACGGUACCCUGUAAGGAAGCCCCGGCUAACUACGUGCCAGCCGCCGC